UAGUAUAUGGUGUGCGCGGAAGUCAAUC
rnacentral:piRNA from 1 species